CAUAUUUCAACCGAGAUUUUCCAAAAUCGAAGACCUAACAGGGUCAUUAUAUUUCACGCCUUCACUCACUGGUUUCCCACGCAGUGAGCAACCAUUGUAAAUCUCCAAGAAAUCCGAUCAUCUUCCUUCCCAAAACUGAAACCCAAAAUCAGUGAGAGCAGCCGCUGUAAAUCUCCCUCAAAAUCGAUCAUCUUCCUUUCCGAAAGGUGAAACCCGAACUCAGAGUAAAGCCUUUCCGCCUUCACUCCCUGUUUCCCACGAAGUGAGAGCACCGCUGUAAAUCUCCCUCAAAAUCGAUCAUCUUCCUUUCCAAAAGGUGAAACCCGAACUCAGUGAGAGCAACCAUUGUCAAGAACCCCUGAAGAAACUCGAUCAUCUUUCUUCCCAAAAGCUGAAACCCUAAGUCAGGAAAAAAUGGAUGCAGAACUAGAAAAGAAAUCAGCAGAAGAACAGAUGGACAAUGAUGUGCAUGAGGAUAUCUUCACUAAAGUAAUGGGCCCUGAAGGUCAUGGAUGGGUGCGUUUAAUGGGAAGAGGGGUAAGCCCAAAGGAUUGGCGCCAGUCAUCACAAGACAUUGCUGAAAUUCGUCGGGAGAAUGUCGAGUUACGGAGUGAGGUGAAAUGUCUGAGAGAGCAGAACACAAAGCAUGAAGAGCUAAUAUCUACAAUGCAAUCUCAGCUCAAUAUGCUAAUGCAAAUUGUGGUAGGGAAGCAACAAGACGGUGCUCAGAACAUAGAGGCUGAAGUUGCUGUUGAAGGUUGACGCGCGUGUCUUAACUCUUGGGCCAAAUAUCUUUUUGUUUUGAAAUUUUUUGAUGAUAGAAAAGCUAAAAUUGUGUAUAUAGAUGAAUGGUUCAACUUAAGGAGAGUGCAUGUCAUGUUGGAGUUGUAUGUUGCUAUGAGUCUUCAUCUUAGAGGUGUCAAAGUUCCCUAUUGAAUAAUUUCUCUGAAAUAUUAGUUUUUGAGACGGGUUAUGUAAAUAUUAAGUCUUUGUAUGGAUUUCUUUCAUGUUAAUACUUUUGGAUGAUAUAAUUAUUAACUGUUGUUUGGUUA